GACGAACGCUGGCGGCGUGCCUAAUACAUGCAAGUCGAACGCACAGUUUAUACCGUAGCUUGCUACACCAUAGACUGUGAGUUGCGAACGGGUGAGUAACGCGUAGGUAACCUGCCUGGUAGCGGGGGAUAACUAUUGGAAACGAUAGCUAAUACCGCAUAAUAUUAAUUAUUGCAUGAUAAUUAAUUGAAAGGUGCAAUUGCACCACUACCAGAUGGACCUGCGUUGUAUUAGCUAGUAGGUGAGGUAACGGCUCACCUAGGCGACGAUACAUAGCCGACCUGAGAGGGUGAUCGGCCACACUGGGACUGAGACACGGCCCAGACUCCUACGGGAGGCAGCAGUAGGGAAUCUUCGGCAAUGGACGAAAGCCUGACCGAGCAACGCCGCGUGAGUGAAGAAGGGUGUCGGAUCGUAAAGCUCUGUUGUAAGAGAAGAACGGGUGUGAGAGUGGAAAGUUCACACUGUGACGGUAGCUUACCAGAAAGGGACGGCUAACUACGUG
rnacentral:rRNA from 1 species